rnacentral:lncRNA from 1 species
UUUGUUCUUCUUUGUUCUUGAGUUUUGUGGAUGUGUAUGGUGUUUUGGGUUGUAAAACCGAAAAUCCCAUACUUUGAAACAAUUCUCUUAUCAUUUGACACAUUUGAGAGCUAGGUGGGAGGUUGGGUAGUUCUUCUCUUUUAUCUUCCUUCUCUCUUUAAUAUGAUUUGGAUUUGAGGCUAGGGCUAGCUCUAGCCAAACUUAUGUGCAAAUAAUGUAAAUUUUCAUGUGUUUUGAUGUUUAUGCAUGUUUUGAAUCUAUGGGCUUCUAAACUUUAAUGCUUACUAAAUGUGUUUGCUAGCUUAGUCACUUAGAAAGCAUGUUUAGAAAACUAAUGAAUCGGAAACUUGAACUUGACCACUUCUUGAAUCCGUGAGCAUGAGUAGCCUUUAGGUAGUGGCUUAAUGAUUCCUACGGGAAUUGUUAAGUUGCUUGAAUUUCUUACUAUAAACUUAAUGCAUAAACCGUGAGUUUAAUUGCUCUAAGGGGGCUUGCGGUUUAUAGUCCACUUG